rnacentral:rRNA from 1 species
AGAUGGAAGRAWAWAUMSCACCAAGGCGACGAUCAGUAGCUGGCCUGAGAGGACGAUCAGCCACACUGGGACUGAGACACGGCCCAGACUCCUACGGGAGGCAGCAGUGGGGAAUUUUGGACAAUGGGCGAAAGCCUGAUCCAGCAAUGCCGCGUGUGUGAAGAAGGCCUUCGGGUUGUAAAGCACUUUUGUCCGGAAAGAAAUGGCUCUGGUUAAUACCUGGGGUCGAUGACGUACCGAAGAUUAGUUGA